UAGGCGGAUUAUUAAGUUAGAGGUGAAAUCCCAGGGCUCAACCCUGGAACUGCCUUUAAUACUGUUAGUCUUGAGUUCGAGAGAGGUGAGUGGAAUUCCUAGUGUAGAGGUGAAAUUCGUAGAUAUUUGGAGGAACACCAGUGGCGAAGGCGGCUCACUGGCUCGAUACUGACGCUGAGGUACGAAAGUGUGGGGAGCAAACAGGAUUAGAUACCCUGGUAGUCCACGCCGUAAACGAUGAAUGCCAGACGUCGGCAAGCAUGCUUGUUGGUGUCACACCUAACGGAUUAAGCAUUCCGCCUGGGGAGUACGGUCGCAAGAUUAAAACUCAAAGGAAUUGACGG
rnacentral:rRNA from 1 species